AGCGAACGCUGGCGGCAGGCCUAACACAUGCAAGUCGAACGCGCGUAGCAAUACGCGAGUGGCGCACGGGUGAGUAAUACGUGGGAAUCAACCCCGAGGUUCGGAAUAACCGCGGGAAACUGCGGCUAAUACCGGAUGUCCCCUACGGGGGAAAGAUUUAUCGCCUUGGGACGAGCCCACGUCCGAUUAGCUAGUUGGUGAGGUAACGGCUCACCAAGGCUACGAUCGGUAGCUGGUCUGAGAGGACGACCAGCCACACUGGAACUGAGACACGGUCCAGACUCCUACGGGAGGCAGCAGUGGGGAAUAUUGGGCAAUGGAGGCAACUCUGACCCAGCCAUGCCGCGUGGGUGACGAAGGUCUUCGGAUUGUAAAGCCCUUUCGGCGGGGACGAUGAUGACGGUACCCGCAGAAGAAGCCCCGGCUAACUUCGUGCCAGCCGCCGCCGUAACAC
rnacentral:rRNA from 1 species